rnacentral:lncRNA from 1 species
AUGAGAAAAUUUGUGUCGGUUGUUAUACGGAUGGCUUGUGAGAAGAAAAUGAUAACCUGAAUCACAGGUUCGUCAGACUAGGCAGUGGUCCGGUUAUGUUCCUAUCACAACAUUGCAAGGCUCAAGAAACCAACCCACGGUUGUCAAAGAACAGACGGUACAAGAUUUUAAAAUGUAAAGAUUGGUACUUGUCAAUUUAAAACGUAAAUGAUAUCUACUGAAAUUUGGUAUGAACACAAAGAAUGAAAAGUGUAACUUACCUUGUAAAGAACUAUUUGGUGUGAACAUAAUAGUAUCUACAAUGUAUAAAAAUUGAGACUUCUAUAAACCGUUAUCUCAGCGUCAUAUCAGAUUUCAGAUUUCCCUAAAAAACAUCCAGUUUUUCCACAAUGUACAAACCCCUACAAACUCUACAUCAUCACAUACUUUUACCAUAAUUUAUAUAUCUCAACAAACCUUAAAAUUACAUAAAAUUAUACAAAAACGAUGAGUUGCCACCCAGAUUGUCCUGCCAAGAUACAGAUCGGGUCUACACCAUUCGAUUAGUUUCAAAAUCAUCACACAGAUCUGGACCGGUUUAUUAAAAGUCAUCACAACCUCGAACCAAGAACAAGAACCCAUUUGAAAAGUCUUCAAAACAAGUCCGGAUCUAGUCAUCAUCAACAGACAACAUAAAAGAGAAGUCCGAAAAGAUCCAAACAAGAGCAUCCAAAAAUGUACUCAAAAUACACAGAUCAGAGCUUCAACCAACGAUCGGGAGCUUAAUAUUUGAUCGGAAGCUUGAUUGGGAGCCAUCAUCGCAACGAUCGGAACCGCAUGAUCCGAAGACCGAAAACAGAUCUAAACAUCGUAAAAUCCUAGCCGUUUGGGUAGAAGAAGAUAUAGUCAUUGGAGUGAAGGGGCCUACCACCGCGUCUAGAAUCAAGUAUGGAAUUCCGGACUUCUCAAACGGACUUCAAUGCCCGAGGACACCAACAACGUGGGAAAAGCGGAAAACGAUGUCAGAAAAUAAUGACUAGAUUAGGACUAUGAUUUUUGAGCACACUAUGGGUGCUAUAACGUUAUGAAACACUUUUGCAACAUUUUGAUUAAUUGUUUUUAGUGAAAAAAAAACAAUUAUUAAUU